rnacentral:rRNA from 1 species
GACGAACGCUGGCGGCGUGCUUAACACAUGCAAGUCGAACGGAAAGGCCCUGCUUUUUUGCGGUGCUCGAGUGGCGAACGGGUGCGUAACACGUGAGUAACCUGCCCUUCACUUUGGGAUAACUUCAGGAAACUGGGGCUACUACCGGAUAGCAGCCCCUGCUGCAUGGUGGGCGUUGGAACGUUUCGGCGGUUGGGGAUGGACUCGCGGCUUAUCAGCUUGUUGGUUGGGUAGUGGCUUACCCAGGCAUUGACGGGUAGCCGGCCUGGGAGGGUGGCCGGCCACAAUGGGACUGAGAUACGGCGCAGACGCCUACGGGAGGCGGCAGUGGGGAAUAUUGCACAAUGGUAGGAAGCCUGAUGCAGCGGCGCCGCGGGCGGGAUGACGGCCUGCGGGUUGUAAACCGCUUUCGCCUGUGACGAAGCGGGAGUGACGGUAAUGGGUAAAGAAGCACCGGCUAACUACGUG